rnacentral:rRNA from 1 species
AUUGAACGCUGGCGGCAGGCCUAACACAUGCAAGUCGAGCGGAUGAAGGGAGCUUGCUCCUGGAUUCAGCGGCGGACGGGUGAGUAAUGCCUAGGAAUCUGCCUGGUAGUGGGGGAUAACGUCCGGAAACGGGCGCUAAUACCGCAUACGUCCUGAGGGAGAAAGUGGGGGGUCGUCGGACCUCACGCUAUGAGAUGAGCGGAGGUCGGAUUAGCUAGUUGGUGGGGUAGUGGCCUACCAAGGCGAUGAUCCGUAACUGGUCGGAGAGGAUGAUCAGUCACAUUGGGACUGAGGUACGGCCCAGACGCCUACGGGAGGCAGCAGUGGGGAAUAUGACACAGUGGGCGGAAGGCUGAGGCAGCAACGCCGCGAGCGGGAUGACGUCCUUCGGGUUGUAAACCGCUUUCGCCUGUGACGAAGCGUGAGUGACGGUAAGGGGUAAAGAAGCACCGGCUAACUACGUG